rnacentral:rRNA from 1 species
UACGGAGGGUGCAAACGUUGCUCGGAAUCAUUGGGCGUAAAGGGUCUGUAGGUGGCCAACUAAGUCAAACGUGAAAUCCCUCAGCUUAACUGGGGAACUGCGUCUGAUACUGGAUGGCUCGAGUGUGGGAGAGGAAUGCGGAAUUCCAGGUGUAGCGGUGAAAUGCGUAGAGAUGUGGAAGAACACCAAUGGCGAAGGCAGCUCGCUAGGACGGUACUGACGCUGAGGCGCGAAAGCGUGGGGAGCAAACAGG